rnacentral:rRNA from 1 species
UGGUGGAGUGAUUUGUCUGGUUAAUUCCGAUAACGAACGAGACCUUAACCUGCUAAAUAGCCAGGCCGGCUUUUGCUGGUCGCCGGCUUCUUAGAGGGACUUUCGGCUCAAGCCGACGGAAGUUUGAGGCAAUAACA